AGCGACUCACUGGACCCAGCCCUUAGCAACGGCCUGGCAACGGUUUCCCUGCUGCUGCAGCCCCCGUCGGCUCCUCUUUUCCAGUCCUCCACUGCCGGGGCUGGGCCCGGCCGCGGGAAGGACCGAAGGGGAUACAGCGUGUCCCUGCGGCGGCUGCAAGAGGACUAAGCAUGGAUGGCAGCCGGAGAGUCAGAGCAACCUCUGUCCUUCCCAGAUAUGGUCCACCGUGCCUAUUUAAAGGACACUUGAGCACCAAAAGUAAUGCUUUUUGCACUGACUCCUCUUCUCUCAGACUAAGCACUCUCCAGCUGGUCAAGAAUCACAUGGCUGUUCACUAUAAUAAAAUCCUUUCAGCCAAAGCUGCAGUAGACUGCUCGGUUCCAGUAAGCGUGAGUACCAGCAUAAAGUGUCUAGAAGUACUUGUAUGAAUCUGGGUGCUCCAGUGUUGGGUGCAAAUAUACCUAGGAUAGAUGCAGACCAACAACGAAGAGAGAAACUCAAAAAGGAAUUAGCACAAUGUGAAAAAGAGUUCAAAUUAACUAAAACUGCAAUGCGAGCCAAUUAUAAAAAUAAUUCCAAGUCACUUUUUAAUACCUUACAAAAGCCCUCAGGCGAACCGCAAAUUGAGGAUGACAUGUUAAAAGAAGAAAUGAAUGGAUUUUCAUCCUUUGCAAGGUCACUAGUACCCUCUUCAGAGAGACUACACCUAAGUCUACAUAAAUCCAGUAAAGUCAUCACAAAUGGUCCUGAGAAGAACUCCAGUUCCUCCCCGUCCAGUGUGGAUUAUGCAGCCUCCGGGCCCCGGAAACUGAGCUCUGGAGCCCUGUAUGGCAGAAGGCCCAGAAGCACAUUCCCAAAUUCCCACCGGUUUCAGUUAGUCAUUUCGAAAG
rnacentral:lncRNA from 1 species